UACAGAGGUCUCAAGCGUUGUUCGGAUUCAUUGGGCGUAAAGGGCGCGUAGGCGGCUCGGCACGUCCGUUGUGAAAUCGCCCGGCUCAACUGGGCGGGGUCAGCGGAUACGGUCGAGCUUGAGCAAGCUAGGGGGCAAUGGAAUUCCCGGUGUAGUGGUGGAAUGCGUAGAUAUCGGGAGGAACACCAGUGGCGAAGGCGGCAUCCUGGACCAAUUCUGACGCUGAGGAGCGAAAGCCAGGGGAGCAAAGCGGGG
rnacentral:rRNA from 1 species